rnacentral:rRNA from 1 species
AACGAACGCUGGCGGCAGGCCUAACACAUGCAAGUCGAGCGCGCCCUUCGGGGUGAGCGGCGGACGGGUGAGUAACGCGUGGGAACGUGCCCUUUUCUACGGAAUAGCCUCGGGAAACUGAGAGUAAUACCGUAUACGCCCUUUGGGGGAAAGAUUUAUCGGAAAAGGAUCGGCCCGCGUUGGAUUAGGUAGUUGGUGGGGUAAUGGCCUACCAAGCCGACGAUCCAUAGCUGGUUUGAGAGGAUGAUCAGCCACACUGGGACUGAGACACGGCCCAGACUCCUACGGGAGGCAGCAGUGGGGAAUCUUAGACAAUGGGGGCAACCCUGAUCAAGCCAUGCCGCGUGAGUGAUGAAGGCCUUAGGGUUGUAAAGCUCUUUCAGCUGGGAAGAUAAUGACGGUACCAGCAGAAGAAGCCCCGGCUAACUCCGUG